rnacentral:lncRNA from 1 species
AUAAGGGGUUUCACCUUGUUGCCCAAGCUGGUCUUGAAGUUCUGGGCUCAAGCGAUCUGCCUGCAUUAGCCUCCUAAAGUUCUGGGAUUACCAACAUGAGCUACCAUGCCUGGGUCAAAGCCAUUCUCUGAGCUGAAGAAAAACUACAAAAGAUAGAAACUCAGAUGUGCAGGAAAGAAUAUAGACACCAAAAAAGGAGUGCAAUUUUGACCAAUUACUUUUUACUGGAAGAACUUCAAGAAUAGCUAUGAAGCAUAUGAAGAGGUCUUAUUCCGAGUGAUCCUGAUGCUAGUCAAGGAAGGGAAUGACUGGUUAGAAUCAAUGCCCACACCUGAGAAUUGUGCUUGAGAUAGAUUCUCCUGAAGACACAGGGCUUCACAGGAAGGAGAGAUAAUUAUUGGAUGGAAAACAGAACUGAGAAGAGAAAUCACUUGUGUCCCAGCACCAUUUGUUGAAAAGGAUAUUCUUUCCCUGUUGAAAUAAUGUCUUGGCACCCAAACUGAAAAUGAAUUCACCUCAGAAUGUAUAGAUAAAGUGGAAGACUACUCCUAGAGAGAAGCAAUUGUGCCUGGUAAUAUAUACACAUGCUACAAAGUAUAAAAGGCACGAGAACAUGAGAAAUCAUUCUCAGUCUUAUAUCUGUAUCACGGCCA